UUAAAUUGAAGAGUUUGAUCAUGGCUCAGAUUGAACGCUGGCGGCAGGCCUAACACAUGCAAGUCGAGCGGUAGCACAGAGAGCUUGCUCUCGGGUGACGAGCGGCGGACGGGUGAGUAAUGUCUGGGAAACUGCCUGAUGGAGGGGGAUAACUACUGGAAACGGUAGCUAAUACCGCAUAACGUCGCAAGACCAAAGUGGGGGACCUUCGGGCCUCAUGCCAUCAGAUGUGCCCAGAUGGGAUUAGCUAGUAGGUGGGGUAA
rnacentral:rRNA from 2 species